rnacentral:rRNA from 1 species
CCAAAUUCCGCGCACGCAGCGGGGGUAGUACUGAGGGGGCAAGCGUUGGCCGGAAGCACUGGGCGUAAAGGGCGCGUAGGCGGCUACGGAAGGCACUGGUGAAAUGCCGGGGGUCAACGCCGGGGCCGCAGGUGAGACUGCGUGGCUAGAGCAUGGUAGAGGCGAGUGGAAUUCCCGGUGUAGCGGUGGAAUGCGUAGAUAUCGGGAAGAACACCGGUGGCGAAGGCGGCUCGCUGGGCCAUUGCUGACGCUGAGGCGCGAAAGCGUGGGGAGCAAACAGGAUUAGAUACCCCGGUAGUC